rnacentral:rRNA from 1 species
GUGGGGAAUAUUGCGCAAUGGGGGCAACCCUGACGCAGCAACGCCGCGUGAUUGAAGAAGGCCUUCGGGUUGUAAAGAUCUUUAAUUAGGGACGAAAAAUGACGGUACCUAAAGAAUAAGCUCCGGCUAACUACGUGCCAGCAGCCGCGGUAAUACGUAGGGAGCAAGCGUUAUCCGGAUUUACUGGGUGUAAAGGGCGAGUAGGCGGGCUGGUAAGUUGGAAGUGAAAUCUGGGGGCUCAACCCCCAAACUGCUUUCAAAACUGCUGGUCUUGAGUGAUGGAGAGGCAGGCGGAAUUCCGUGUGUAGCGGUGAAAUGCGUAGAUAUACGGAGGAACACCAGUGGCGAAGGCGGCCUGCUGGACAUUAACUGACGCUGAGGAGCGAAAGCGUGGGGAGCAAACAGGAUUAGAAACCCCAGUAGUCC